CCGGCGCUGUGCCCCGCCUGAGCUCCGGGCCGCCCCUCCUGUCGCCCGACUUCGUGUCCCCACGGCUCCACGCGCCCCUCGCCGCGGUCCGCUGGGGUUUCCGAGCCGCCACCGAACCAAGCAGUCGACUUGCAGGCGUCCGCCAAGGCCUCCCCAAGGUGGCGCCACACCCAGGACAGGCCCCGGGGCCCUCCGCAGCGCUGGCGCCGAGCUGAUGACGUGAAGGGGUCAGGGGCCGUCGGGGCGGGGCUACGGGCCCUCACCGGCUGACUCUAGUGCCUGCGGGUGGCACUACAAACUAGUUUGUCCCAGCGCCGCGGAUAGGUCUUCUGGCGCGGGAACUAUCCUACGGAGGGAUCGGGAGAUAAACGACUAGUGAUGGAGGUGCGCAAACUGAGGCUCCGGGCGGGUCAGGAGGUGAGGUAACUGGCUGUCAGAGAGCGAAACUCAUUUGCGCACAGCUGAGGACUGCUGAGAAGUGGUCAAGUCGUAACUGGAACGCAGAAAAAGUUUAAUGAAGACAAUGACUAUCAGUUACCUUUUAUUCUUCAUGAAGUAGCUGAAUGAGAGCGGGACAUGAUUGGAGGGACUGUGAGGAAAUGGAGGCCCAGAGCUCAGAAGAGUAUAAAGUGAAAUGAAGUCCCUCUGCUACCUAUACCAUGGCCUUCUGCUCGCCUCCCAGAGGCAGCUGCAAUGAACAGGAUCUUAGUUCCCCAACCAGGAACUGAACACCGGGCCACAGCAGUGAAAGUGCCAGGUCCUAACCACCGGCCCACCAGGAAAUUCCCCCAGAGGCUGAUCUUGAACUCACCAUCCUCUGAGGACAAGGGCGCUUGAGCCAAAGGCACCACAAGCCUGAGGUGCUGGGAUGCCUUACCUCAGUGGAGCCGGUGAAAGCCACUUUGUCCACAUCCUCAUGGGAGGCGAUGGCAGCUCCGGCUGUGGGGCCAAAUCCAGGAAUGAUAUUGACCACACCAGGAGGAAAGCCAGCCUGUGAAAAAAACACCAGGGACACUGGAGUCAUUCUCCUGCUUCACAGAGUCCAUACAGAGGAAUACGCAUCCCUUCCCAGAGAGGCUGAGGCAGUCGGCCCAUCACCCAGGUCUAACUUUGUUCCUUGUUCUCCAGCGCUCUUUGUCUGUGGACUUACUGUCAGGAAGGGAACUGGCAAAAGCGAAAUAUCCAGAGAGGGAAGAGGAAUGAAGCCAGGGGAAGAGCUAAGCAAGCAAAAUGUGACUUCUUUUCAGGUGCCUCAGAGGGGAGAGGUGUGAACACUUUGACAUGAAUAAAUGUCGUCCUCCCGCCCUGCUGAGGUCACUGGGAGAAGCACCCAGUUGGGAGGCGGUGUUUGCAGGAUUUGGUGACUGACUGGCUGUGAAGGAUGAAGGAGAAGGAGGAGUCACAGACGACCCUGAGGUUUCUCCAUUUGUGGCUUGUUGGAUGGUGGUGCAAACAAGGACACAGGAGCAAAAGUAACCUUGUUGCAGCACGUGGGAUCUUCGGUCUUCAUUGUGGCACUUAGGAUCUUUAGUUGUGGCAUCCGAGCUCUUAGUUGCAGUAUGCAAGCUCUUCGUUGCGGCGUGUGGACUCUAGUUUCCUGACCAGGGAUGGAACCCCAGGCCCGCUGCAUUGGGAGUACCAACUGCUUGGCCACUGCACCACCAGGGAAGUUCCCAAUUUGGGAUUUUUAUUUUUUUAACUAAACUUUUUAUUUUGUAUUGGAAUAUAGCUGAUUAACAGUGUUGUGAUAGUUUCAGGUGGACAGCAAAGGAAUUCAGCCAUACAUAUACCCGUAUCCAAUCCCAACCAUUGAAUUUUAACUAAAACACCUUAGCAAAGACAUAAAAGAGAAUUCACAUAAUGAACAGGAACACUGGUAAAAUUUUCACUCAUAAAUGUUCUGUGCAAACCACAUGGAUACAAAUCCACCUAUUUUGUAAAUUCUAGUGUGGCUCUGGAAAACUCUAAGCAGAUAUGGCUGCCUCUUGCCCCAUACAGAUAAAAACCACAAUGGCGCCCAUUGGUUCAAAGGAUUUAUACCUCCUGAAGGUUUCACAUCCAUUAUCUCAUUUUCCUUCUACCAAAACUCAACCAGACAGGGAAGGAGACUUUAGCAUCCCCAUUUCCAGGUGAGAAAGUGGAGACACCAUGUGGCUAAAUGACUUUUUUAUGUAAUGCAGGGGUUGGAACGAGAUCAGCAGUUCUUAAAUUCAAUCAGUCACGAACUGUGUCAUGACUGAUUUGAUGCUGGUGGUUAAAGUACCGAAGCAGGAGAAUGAUUCAUCUUUUUAAAAAUAACACAUUAUCCUUGUAACAACCUAAUUCUCACCAGCAUUUGGUAUGCUUUCCUGGCUAGGAGAAAAGGAGUGGGGUUGCAGCUGGCAUAAUCGGAAUUCCCAUGGGGGUGUUAUGCAUGUGAAUAGUCAACCAUGUGCAUUCCAACAGUUUGGGGGGAAAAAAAAAGUUGAGAGUUAAUGGAUAAGCCAGGCCUGGAGGUUGCUUCCAGCUCUAAAAUUGGAUGAUUCACCCAAAAUAAACUGUGAGUUGAUGGCAUACAAGAUCAAAACAAACCACUCUUCCCUGUCCAUGGAUCUUACUAAGGAUCACUUACUUUAAAGCGUCGUAGGUUGAAUCAUAAGAUGUAUUGUACAAAACAGGAUGGUUUUGUUUUUAAAUAUUUAUUUAUUUGGCUGUCCCCAGUCUUAGUUGCAGCACAUGACAUCUUCAAUCUUCAUUGCAGCAUGAGGGAUCUUUAGUGGAUUAGCUGCAGCAUGUGGGAUCUAGUUCCCUGACAGGGAUGGAACCCAGGCCCCCUGCACCGGAAGCAUGGAGUCUUAGUGACCGGACCACCAGAGAAGUCCCCAAACCAGGAUAGUUUUAGGAGAAAAAGGGGCAUCAAUGGAAUGGAACAUCAGGACAACAUAUUAAACGGGAAUUGUGUUGAACAAAUCAGGACUAGAAUCACCCUACGUAUAUGUAAUGCAAGAUGUGUAUGCUUCAGUCGUGUCUGACUCUUUGCGACCCUAUGGACUGUAGGCUGCUAGGCUUAUCUGUCCAUGGGAUUCUCCAGACAAGAAUACUGGAGUGGGUUGCCAUGCUCGCCUCCAGGGGAUCUUCCCAACCCAGGGAUUGAACCCAGGUCUCAUGUCUCCGGCUUUGGCAGGCGGGUUCUCUACCACUAGCGCCACCUGGGAAGCCCCAAGUACAUUUACAGAACUGGAAACUGCCAGACCUGCCCCAAGGAACAUCAUUCUAAUGGUGAAUUGGAUGUGUUUUGGUUUCAGUUCCCCCAAAAGCAGACUCUAAGACAAGGAUUUUGGUGCAAGUAGUUGAUUAAGGAGGUGAAGGAGAGUGGGGAAGUGAGGCAGGGGAAGAAAGGUAGCCAAUAAGAGUAUAUCCUCAAAAAAAAAAACAAACAAACACUGUAUAUGGAAAGGAAAAAAAGAGUGUGUCCUCAAGCCAGCAAUUGCUGAGGCCAACUGCAAUAGAAUACCCGAGCUUGUCACAGAGAUGUGCCACCCGACAUUCCCCCUUUAAGGAAGGGCUUGCUGUUCACUCGCAGGGAGUGGGGUCAGCAGAUGGCCCCCAAGCUCCUUCAGGGUCUGUCUUAGGAGCAGAGCUGCCUUGCUCAAGGUCACACCCUUUCCAGAGCAGCCUGCACUGCUGAGCAACCAAGGCAAGGCUGUGAAGGGUGCCCGUCUCCUCCAGAUGCGGGGCACUCUGAUGGGCAGUCCUCACUCCACACCUUCACCCUGGGUUGGCCAAGACUUGGUCAAGCUGGUACUGCAGCCAGACUUUUCCUUGCCUUCCAGAGGGGCUAAUCCCUAAUAAAAACCCUGUAAGUAUCUGCUUGCAGAGAACCAGUCCCAAAGCCAUUCCUCUAGGGAAACUCAGUGUAUUAAUAAUUUUUUUAAUACCUUAAAAAAUUUUAUUUAUUUAUUUAUUUAUUUGGCUGUUUCAUGUCUUAGUCACCACACUCAGGAUCUUCAGUGUUUGUUUUGGCCUCCGGGUUCUUUUAGUUUCGGCAGGCGGAGUCUUCAUUUGCAGCAUGUGAAAUCUUUAGUUGCAGCAAGUAAACUCUUAGUUGUAGCACAUGGGAUCAGGUUCCCUGACCAGGGAUCAAACCUGGGCCCCCUGCAUUGGGAACUCGGAGUCUUACCCACUGGACCACCAGGGAAGUCCCUAAUCAUGUUUGUUUGUUUGUUUUUUAAUUUUCUAUAUCUUAUGAGGUUGUGACAUCUUGGGGGACCUUGCAGAUUAGAGGAGAGACUGCAUUUAUAGGGUUAGCUAAUCCCUUAGAGGAGGUGGAUUGCUUGCUGGAACAUGUCUAGUCAUGCAAAGGCCAUCUGACUCAGUGUCAUAUCCAACCCACCUGCUUAUCUAACUCACACACCAAGCCAAUAGUUGCUACCUCCUAAUCACCCCGGAAUCAGGUACCAGACAACCGAAGACAGCUCCUAUGCCCUAGAGUCCUCUGGAAUUACGCAAAGGAGCCCAUCCUAAAUGGUGUACGCUGUCUCUCGUUUUCUGCAGAAACUCUAGUAAAGGCUGUGGCUUAGGCUUUCCAAUUAUUCCUGCUUCUGCCUCCUGAUCAAGACCUGACCCCUCCCCUGUGGCCCUGAGUGGCGUGGUGUGUCCCCUUUUCUCAGGAAGGGUCAAAUGCUGAUGCCGUGCUGGAGAUCCAGCUCGCACCGUGUAGAUACAGUCCCCAUCCGGCACAGCAGGGCAACAACACAGAAGGAACCUGGGUCCCCUUUCAGCUUCCUGGAGCAGAGCCGCCUAAUCUUGGACCAACUCCUACCCGUGGACAAGAGCGUGAGAAAGAAGGAAAUGUCUAACUUGAUUAGCCCUCUCUAUUUUCAGGUCUUCAGAUUUGAAAUGAGACUUACACUAGCAGCCCCAUCCCACCCCCCACCCCCUUUCUUGAGCUUUUGACCUUGGACUCAAUUGCACCACCAGCUUUCCUGCUUCUCCAGAAGGCAUAGACAGAUUGUGGGAUUUCUCAACCUCCAUAAUCAUGUAAGCCAAUUGCUAUAAUGUUUCUCUCUCUCUCUCUCUCUGUCUCUCUCUCUCUCUAUAUAUAUAUACAUUAUUGGUUCUGUUUUCCUGGAGAACCUUGACUGAAAACAACCAACCUUCAGUAAAAUAACACAGGGUAUGUUAUUAAUAUUAUCUGUCUCAUUACCUAUCUCUGGUUAAAUACUUCUCUUCACUCACAUUUUCUUAAUAAGUCCUAUUUACCAAUUGUUUAACCAUAUUUUGUGAUUCUGUGAACCAUCCACUAGUUUUAGCAUCGAAUGCUGACUCAUGAUUAGAAAGUAGCAAAGUGAAUGGUGGCUAGUCCAUCUCUUUGCUCGAGGUCCCCUGGACCAAGCCUAGUUUGCUCCAAAAGAAACAAUGUCCUAGGCUCAGACCAGCUCCAUUUCAUGUUAUUCUUCUGUACCUGUCCCAAACUACCUUAUACUUACUAUUCAGCAGCUCACUCACACCUGAAAACCCCUAAUUUAGUGCAAGAAUUUCCCUAGUCUCACCCAAAGUCCUAUAAAUCUCAUAAAACCCCUUGAAUUCACACAAGAGCAAAAGUUUUCUUGCUGUAAUGGCCCAGGAUUCUUUAAAAGGACAGUGGAGAAAAUUGUAGACUUGAGAGAGAGGCACCAAACAGGCCUCAUAUGACCGAAAGUUUUCUUUUUUCCCUAUUGGCCAAAUUCAGUCAAUUAAAUUCUACAAUUUGAGAGCAUUCCUUUGGAUGUUAAAACAUUGUCAUUAUCAGUUGUGACUUCACCGGCAUCAAUCAAGUUCUUAUAUUGGCUGUAGUGACCAGUCCUUAUGAACAUGCAAGUUGGGUUAUGUGACGGCCAGAGCGUGGGGUACUGCCUGUCGGGGUGCUGGCUUUGUCUUGCCAGAGCACAAAAUCCUGGGAGUGUGGGGUGCGUGGAAACAGAGGGAGGGGCACCAAAGGAAGAGGUAAGAAUAGAUAAUUCAAAUAAACCCCUCACAAGUUGGUUUGUGCUUUGAGAAUACGAGUUGUGCAGAUUCCAACCGAAAAGAAACAAAUGUGCUCCAUGAGGUCAGACUUUGUCUACUGAGAAAACUUGUGCAGUAGUCACGCCUUGGAGAAUUUCCCGUCGAUAACAAGAUCAACAUUUGAUCAACAACUCUACAAUAUCUGCAAGAAACAUAUGUACCAGCUGAAUGCCGCUGAAGAAAAUCGUUAUAGGAUUAGCAGUUUUCUGACCCACUUACUAAAAAAAAGCCAAAUCGCUCAAUUGAGACCCCAGGGAAAUGCAGAUUUAUACCUUUGACGUACUACUUGGCUUUUCUUCAAUUAACUUAAAUUCUGUAACCAGUUUUUGAGUCUUUGCCAUCUUCUUUUCUUUUAAUUGGGUGAUUUUAUAUGCCUUCUUGAAUAUAAGCCUUUGCAAAUUCUUGGUUUUUCUAAAUGCAAAUGUAUAAUGAAACCUGCAUACAGCUUUCUCCUGUGCAAUUAUUUUCUAAACCCAUCAGGAGGCCUGCUUCUUUCCCUAAUCCUUUCCUUUACUAGAUUGGGGCUGGAUGGGUGGAGUGGGCAGUCGAGAAGAGAAGUCCAGUGCUCUUUGCUUCCAGAUGGGAAUUGGGGAAGAUGGGGAAGAGGGUCUCUCCACCUGUGGCCAUAGGGGUCCAGUAAAUGAGAGGCGCUUCCAUUCCCACAGGCAUGGAGCCAUGAUCAGCUGUUUCCUGUCGCCUGGCCUUGACUAAUCCUUUUCCAACCACUGGGAACAAGCCUUUUCCUCCUGUCAAGUACUCUAGCCCUUCUCUUCCAUCCAGUGUAGCUUUCUUUAAGAAGGUUUCUUUCAGUUGAGGAAUCUCUUCAUUUUCAAGCCCACUGAUACAAUUCCUGACCAACAUCUCCACAACUCACUCUUACAACUGCUGUGUUUAUGCUGAUUACAUGCUUGUCUUAUUUCCCUGUACAGGCCAGACGUCCUCGGCCACAGCCAAAUCCCAGGGCCUGAUUGUGGAAUUCUCUUUUUUCUGGCUUUCUGGUUUCUGGCAAUAGCACCAUCAUUCUGUUGCCCCAGUCAGUAACCUCAGAGGCAUUUCUGCACCCUCCUUUUUCCACACUUGCACUCCCUAAUCUCCAACCAGUAUCCAAAUCCUAGCAGUUCUUUUUUGUUAUUAUUUUUUAGACUUUAUUUAUUUUUGACUGUGCUGGGUUUCUGCUGCUGUGUGGGCUUUUUUCUAGUUGUGGCAACCAUGGGUUACUCUCUAGCUGCAGUGCGCAGGCUUCUCAUUGUGGUGGCUUCUCUUGUUACGGAGCAUGGGCUCUAGGGCCCAGGCUCAAUAGUAGUGGCACAUGGGCUUAGUUGCUCUGCAGCAAGUGGGGUCUUUUCCUCAUCAGGGAUCGAACCCGUGUCGCCUGCAUUGGCAGGUGGAUUCUUUACCACUGAACCACCAGGGAAGCCCCCCUAGCAGUUCUUUCUUUAUAACCUCUCUGACUUCUUUUCUGUAUUUCCCUAUUUCUUUCAUCCCUUUCAUGUAGACUCUUCCAGCUGCAUCUUAACUGUUCUCGCUGGUUCCCAGCUCCCACCACGAGCUCGUCCUUAACACCAGCGCCAGGUGGGUCUUCCUGAGCUACAGCUUUAUUCAGGUCACUUCACAAUUUUAAAAUCACCAAUAGUCCUCUGUUGUCUUGGGGUUAGCAUUCAAGGCUACAUAGGUGGAAAGACCACAGGUUUUAUAAGCAAUCUGAACUCUGCUCACAUACCAACUCUGCCCUUUACUAGUUGCAGGGCAAGAUCCUGACCUUCUCAGAACCUGUUUCCACAUCUAUAAAAUGGAGAUGAUAAUACCCAUCUGGAAAGGUGAUUGUAAAAUUUAAGCAAGAUGACAUAAGCUAACCCUUUGGCCUCCCAUAGUAGGCUCUCAGUAAAUGGCAUCUUUCCUUCUUCUGCAAGUCAAUGCCGGCCUGUCUUUACCUUUACAACUUCAUUCUUCCUCCUUGGUUCUUCUCCAACACAACUUCCUGCCUCCUGUGUCUUUGGAGAAACGGUUCUCUCUACUUGCCUUUCAUCUUUGCCCAUGGAGUCCCCUAUGUCCUUUAAGGGCCAACGUCAUGAAGUGUUCCUUGAUCAAUUUUGUCAAAUACUGUCAGUGGGAUGCCAAGGAGGGAGGUGAGAGUAUGUUGCCACUGACAUUGUUUAGAAGCACCAUCUCAUAGUGAUAAUAAAAAGCAUACAGGGACUUCCCUGGUGGUCCAGUGGCUAAGACUCCUCACUCCCAGAGCAGGGACCCAGGGUUCAGUCCCUAGUCUGGGAACUGGAUUCCACAUGCCAUUACUAAAAGAUCCCUCAUGCCACAAAG